GGACACGCUGGCGGCGUGCCUAACACAUGCAAGUCGAGCGGUUCAAUGUCCGGCACUGAGUAUUUGGACAGACAAAUACUGAGUGCUGGAUAUUGGAUAGCGGCGGACGGGUGAGUAACGCGUGGGCAACCUACCUCUAACUGGGGGAUAACACAGGGAAACCUGUGCUAAUACCGCAUAACAUAUUGAAAGGGCAUCCUUUUAAUAUCAAAGGAGAAAUCCGGUGAGAGAUGGGCCCGCGUCCAAUUAGCUAGUUGGUGAGGUAAAGGCUCACCAAGGCGACGAUUGGUAGCCGAACUGAGAGGUUGAUCGGCCACAUUGGGACUGAGACACGGCCCAGACUCCUACGGGAGGCAGCAGUGGGGGAUUUUCGGCAAUGGGCGAAAGCCUGACCGAGCGACGCCGCGUGAGCGAAGAAGGCCUUCGGGUCGUAAAGCUCUGUCUAGGGGGACGAGAGAGGACGGUACCCCUGGAGGAAGCCACGGCUAACUACGUG
rnacentral:rRNA from 1 species